rnacentral:rRNA from 1 species
UACGAAGGGGGCUAGCGUUGUUCGGAAUCACUGGGCGUAAAGCGCACGUAGGCGGAUCUUUAAGUCAGGGGUGAAAUCCCGAGGCUCAACCUCGGAACUGCCUUUGAUACUGGGGAUCUCGAGUCCGGGAGAGGUGAGUGGAACUGCGAGUGUAGAGGUGAAAAUUCGUAGAUAUUCGCAAGAACACCAGUGGCGAAGGCGGCUCACUGGCCCGGAACUGACGCUGAGGUGCGAAAGCGUGGGGAGCAACAGGAUUAAGAA